rnacentral:rRNA from 1 species
UACGGAGGGGGCAAGCGUUGUUCGGAAUUACUGGGCGUAAAGCGCACGUAGGCUGACUUUUAAGUCGGGGGUGAAAUCCCAGGGCUCAACCCUGGAACUACCUUCGAUACUGGAGGUCUGGAGGUCGAGAGAGGCGAGUGGAAUGCCGAGUGUAGAGGUGACAUUCGUAGAUAUUCGGCCGGACACCAGUGGCGAAGGCGGCUCGCUGGCUCGAUACUGAGGCUGAGGUGCGAAAGCGUGGGGAGCAAACAGG